rnacentral:rRNA from 1 species
UACGGGGGGGGCAAGCGUUGUUCGGAAUUACUGGGCGUAAAGGGCUCAUAGGCGGCCAACUAAGUCAGACGUGAAAUCCCUCGGCUUAACCGGGGAACUGCGUCUGAUACUGGAUGGCUUGAGUUCGGGAGAGGGAUGCGGAAUUCCAGGUGUAGCGGUGAAAUGCGUAGAUAUCUGGAGGAACACCGGUGGCGAAGGCGGCAUCCUGGACCGACACUGACGCUGAGGAGCGAAAGCCAGGGGAGCAAACGGG